CAACGUUCUGGGCGGCUUCACGCAAAGAUAAGCCGCAGAGGGUACCUGCGGCUCCUAGUCUGGUCCUGGCCAGCUUCUCCUGGAGCGUGAGGGCUGAGCUUUGCCAGAGUCGAAUGCCCUUAUCACUUCCACGCCCCCGGGGCCCCUUGCUUCCAUCUGCCCAAAGGUGCCCAGAAUCCAGGCUGCCUCGCAGCUCCAGCAAAGGCCAGGUACUCUGUGGGGGCUGGGAUAACAAAGACAAGAGCCACCCAGAUUCCUACCCAACUCCACCCAGAGGGGGCCCCAUCCACCAUUCCAGAGGCCCCUGUUCCUACAGCCUGGUGGGAGUUCCCUCGGGAACAGGCCUGGAGGUAUGAGCCACUUGACUGACAGAUGAGAGUUCACGUCCUGGGCUGGCAUACAGAGCCCCUGCCCCAAGUAAACAGUGGAUUGUGAGUCAGAAGACCUAAGUUCUAAAUCUGGCAUUCAUGUCAUCAAUCAGCUGUUGUGACCUGGGGCAGGUCACUUACCUUCCCCAGGCCUUAGUUACCCCUCCAUAAAAUGAGAAGCCUGGAGUAAAUGAUCUUUAAGGCCUCUUCCAACUCGGGUAUACGACUGUAGCCUAAUGCCAGGUAUAGACGUAGUAGGUGUUCAGGAAAUGUUUAUUUAGUAAUUUAACGAUAAGAUUCAAGGCAAGAUUCUGCAGGUCCCAGCACCCAUAUACUUCCUCACUAUGAGUUUUGCCUCUGCUGUUAGUUAAUUUGUGUCCAGUGCCAGCUCAACAGGUAUUAAACCAAGGGUCUAGGAUUUAUCCCGCUUACAAGCCAAUAAGCUAGCCUGCUGUUGUUUCAUAAAUGCUGGCAGAAGACGUGGCUUCCUGAGUCGGACACAAAGAAUUUGCCACUCCUGGCACAGGGAGCAGGGUCCCCUGCUCACGGAGAUAGUUUGUGCGGCACAACUUCGUCAUCAGCCCCGCACCCAGAUUCGGCCGCCAGCUGCCCGUCCUCGCUCCAGCCCUUCUCAAGACUGGUACCCUGAGAACAUUGAGACUGUCCCUCCAGGAGCUGCUGAGGGAUGCUGAGAGGAAAGCCCCAGAAUUGGCACCAGAAGACCUAGUUUUGAAUCUUCACAUUGAUACUCGCUAGUUCUGUUUCUCUGAGCAAGUUACAUAACUUUUCUGGAUCCCUGUAAUAACAGCUGAGAAUAAAAUACAGGAAAGUAUAUAUAAGCACUUUGAAUAUGGACCUGGAGCCAGCCACGCCUGGGCUGCUCCGUCAGCUCCUUGAACAUGUUCACCUCCCUUAACCCUCUGAAUCCUGGGUUCCCCACCAGCAAAUCAGAGUAUAUAGGAGCACCGGGCUGGCUCAGUUGGUAUUGCAUGUGACUCUUGAUCUUGGGGUCAGUGAGCUCAAGCCCCACACUGGGCGUAGAGCUUACUUAAAAAAAAAAAGUGCCUAGAGGGGUUCCUUGGUGGCUCAGUCGGUUAAGUGUCCGACUUUGGCUCAGGCCACCAUCUCGUGAUUCGUGAUUCCAGCCCCGCGUCGGGCUCUGUGCUGACAGCUCGGAGCCUGGAGCCUGCUUCAGAUUCUGUGUCUCCCUCUCUCACUGCCCCUCCCCUGCUUGCACUCUGUCUCUCUCUCUCUCAAAAAUAAAUACAUGUUAAAAUAAAAUUUAAAAAAACUGUGCCUACAGUAUAGUAGGCAUUCAAUUAACAACGAUU